CUGUUUUAUGCAGUGUCCACACAGAUUGCUUGGUCGAAAUGUAGAACGUUAGAAGACUUGGGUCUGUGGCUCAGGUGGUUAGAGCGCACCCCUGAUAAGGGUGAGGUCGGUGGUUCGAGUCCACGCAGACCCACCACUUUUUCUCCCAGAAAAAGUGGCGGUUAAGUCUUUUAUAUCGUUGGGGUUAUAGCUCAGCUGGGAGAGCGCCUGCCUUGCACGCAGGAGGUCUGCGGUUCGAUCCCGCAUAGCUCCACCACUCUCUAAAUACCUUCAAAUAAAUGAAUGUGAUUAGAAAGUGGUCAUCUAACGAUGAUUACAUGUUCUUUAACAAUCUGGAAAGCUGACUAGUAAAUUUAAUCGAAAGAUUAAUUUUAAAAAUGUUUUUAUUGCUUCUUGUAAAAGAAGAAUAAAAACGAGUUCUCAAACAACACACAUUCAAGUGUCUUGAUUUUGCUUUCACUUUUUAAAGUGAAGACAAAUAAAUGAGUCCGGCGAAAAACCAAUGUUUAAUAUUUCCUUGAUCGGAUUAUUAAACGCAAACCUUGGUUAGUUGACCAUCUUACUUCACUUUUUAAGUGAAAAUAAGAGAAAAGACCUCUUGGGGUUGUAU
rnacentral:misc_RNA from 1 species